GGUCAGGAUGGAUUGCCGUUUGAAACCAAGCUAAAAUUCGCCUUUCUUGAACCUGCAAUGCUGAUAAAUGUUCUCUGUAUAAGGUGUAAUCUCAUACUUACCUCGUGAACACUACAGGAGUACAAUUUGGUGGUGAAUCUGUCAAUGUGACGUUUGAGGUAUGGAUUCAAGUCAGCGUAGAUGUUUGAAACCGAGCUGAGAUAAACCUUUCGUAGACCUUUCAUGCUCUCGUAUACGUCCUUUGUAUACCGUGUAAUAUUCAGCAAUUGAGUGGCAUAUCCCGGCAUACCAGAUACCGGAAAUAAAGAAAGGUAUGAGAAAGACUCGAAGCAGUGAACCUCGAGAACGAACCGAGUCCCAGAUUGGUCAGGCGGAGGUCCCACGCUGGCGUCACCACUCGAGGGACGAGGCGCCGCGCGGUCACGUGGAUAUCUGAAUUGCGCGUUAAUCACCUCAGUAAUUGAACACCGGUGUCAUUAGUUUGUGUAGUGGUCGUUAAUUGUACUUUGCAGUAGUGCAGGCAAAGGAAGCGUUAGACUCUCUAGCUUCCAUGGAGCUGACUUUGCGUGGGUACUGAGCGCUGGCAGCAGGGAGUGUGGUGCUGGAGGCCUGGUGUUCCCUGUCUGAUUUACUCCGUGGCGACGCCGGACAGCAGUAGGAGCGAGCCGAAAAAAAUGCUAUCCCACAAACGAACUGUCGUCUAAAACCUCCAAUAUCUCACCCUGACUUCACUCAACGUGGCGGUGAGUAGCAGCGUCCGCCGCCUGUCACGGGACUGCCUACCUCCACUAAUGACCGACUUGGUGACGUCUGACGCCUCCAAGUCCCUGAUUUCUGUUACAGAAUACCACCACCACCUCCUCCUCCUCCUCCUCCUCCUCCUCCUCCUCCUCCUACCUUGACAUUGCCACCUCACCCCCUCGCGUGCUUUCCUCAGCCUCCGAUCAUCACAUCAUGACCUGCCGUGCCUGUCUUCCUGAACUCCUCCUCCUCCUCCUCCUACCUUGACAUUGCCACCUCACCCCCUCGCGUGCUUUCCUCAGCCUCCGCUCAUCACAUCAUGACCUGCCGUGCCUGUCUUCCUGAAUGGCAGCCGCGAUGUCUUCAUCUUCAACUUGCGCCUCAUUUCCUGCAAACUCAUACGUCUUCUUGAGCGGCAGGUUUGCAAGCUAGAUAAAAAGAAAAGGAAAAAAGGACAAAAGGAAAAAUAAAGAAAAAGAAAAAAACGAAGAGAGAAAACGGACAGUAGGAAGCGAACUGAAAUGCUGAAACGAUAUCGAAUGAAAAUAAAUAAAUAAAUACUACUUUUCAAAGACGGAUAUUCAAGUGCAAGAUGAGCCUUGAAAUUUUCAUAUUACUAAACAAAUACUUAAAGAAUAAAAAAAACUUUUGAUCAAUAAGGGCUUCAAUUGUAAACACCCAUUGAAAUCUUGCAAGGCCACAAAAAAAAAAGGCUAAACACAAUGAAUCGGAUUAAAAUUGACGAGUCAUUGAAAAAGACAGAUAAAGAAUCACAAAAAAAUAAAUAAAUAAUAAUAAUAAAUAAAUAAAUAAAUAAAUAAGAAAUAUUGAUCAGAUAUUCAACUGUAAGAAGCGGAGUGAAUAUUUUGUGAGGCGGGGUAGGCGGCCGGGAGCUCCAUCCAGUGCGGGGCCAGAACCUUACAAGAGAGGCCCGGGAAAAUGUUGAGGUCCCGCAGUGAAGUGGCUGGCCUUGGAGUGUCCCUGCGAGAGGCCGAGAUAAAAGCUUCCCUUCCACGCUGACUUGCGCUGCUGCUAAACUUUUCUCGGCAGCGUUUUCCAGUAAUGCUGCGACACUCUGGCUGAAGGCGUAGGUACGAGUAUAAUACGAUGCGAUGCUAGUAUGAUGCGAGUAUUUACGAAGCUUUUAUUUGUUUCCAUCCCGAAUUUUCCUAUUAAUUAUGUGACAUUGGUGCUUGAUGACAUACAGUAUAAUAGGAUACAAUGCUUAGUAUUAUAUUAGGAAGCGUUAUUUAUUUAUUUAUUUUUUUUCAUAUUGCGUUGUUUCAUGUCAAGAAUAAUACAUGGAUUUUCCUAUUAAUUCUGGGACACUGCGGCUUGAUGGUUUACCGUAUAAUACGAUAGAAUGUUUAGUAUAAUAUUUCGGAGGCUUUGUGUAUUUGUUUUAAUGCAUUGUUUCAUGUAAGAAAUACCUAAGACAAUAAUUAAUAUCAUGUAUAUUUUCCAGCAGACUUGUAGAAUGUUUAACGUUGUAACUGACCAAAAAUAUAAAGUACAGAAAUAACAUACAAGGAAAA